AUGUCGGAUACGAAGGUAAAAGUGGCCGUCCGGGUUCGACCGAUGAACCGCAGAGAGAUUGAGCUCAACACUAAAUGUGUGGUUGAGAUGGAGGACAAUCAGACCGUUCUGCACCCGCCGCCCUCCAAUGCAAAAGGAGAAAGCAGGUACAGUUUCUCCCACACCAUCAUGUUAAGCCUCCUAUCAAUCUGA
ensembl:processed_transcript